rnacentral:rRNA from 1 species
GAUGAACGCUGGCGGCGUGCCUAAUACAUGCAAGUCGAGCGAACGGACGAGAAGCUUGCUUCUCUGAUGUUAGCGGCGGACGGGUGAGUAACACGUGGAUAACCUACCUAUAAGACUGGGAUAACUUCGGGAAACCGGAGCUAAUACCGGAUAAUAUUUUGAACCGCAUGGUUCAAAAGUGAAAGACGGUCUUGCUGUCACUUAUAGAUGGAUCCGCGCUGCAUUAGCUAGUUGGUAAGGUAACGGCUUACCAAGGCAACGAUGCAUAGCCGACCUGAGAGGGGGAUCGGCCACCCUGGAACUGGGACACGGUCCAGACUCCUACGGGAGGCAGCAGUAGGAAAUCUUCCGCAAGGGGCGAAAGCCUGACGGAGCAACGCGGCGGAAGUGAUGAAGGUCUUCGGAUCGUAAACCUCUGUUAUUAGGGAAGAACAUAUGUGUAGGUAACUGUGCACAUCUGGACGGUACCUAAUCAGAAAGCCACGGCUAACUACGG